rnacentral:rRNA from 1 species
GAUGAACGCUAGCGAUAGGCUUAACACGUGCAAGUCGAGGGGCAGCAUGGUCUUAGCUUGCUAAGACUGAUGGCGACCGGCGCACGGGUGCGUAACGCGUAUGCAACUUGCCUCACAGAGGGGGAUAACCCGUCGAAAGACGGACUAAUACCGCGUACACUCCAUCUUGGGCAUCCAAGGUAGAGGAAAUGAAAUUCGCUGUGAGAUAGGCAUGCGUCCCAUUAGCUAGUUGGUGAGGUAACGGCUCACCAAGGCGACGAUGGGUAGGGGAACUGAGAGGUUGAACCCCCACACUGGUACUGAGACACGGACCAGACUCCUACGGGAGGCAGCAGUGAGGAAUAUUGGUCAAUGGGCGAGAGCCUGAACCAGCCAAGUCGCGUGAAGGAUGACUGUCUUAUGGAUUGUAAACUUCUUUUAUACGGGAAUAACAAGAGUCACGUGUGACUCCCUGCAUGUACCGUAUGAAUAAGCAUCGGCUAACUCCGUG